UACGUAGGGUGCGAGCGUUGUCCGGAAUUAUUGGGCGUAAAGAGCUUGUAGGCGGUUCGUCGCGUCUGCUGUGAAAUUUCGGGGCUCAACCCCGAACUUGCAGUGGGUACGGGCAGACUAGAGUGUGGUAGGGGAGGCUGGAAUUCCUGGUGUAGCGGUGAAAUGCGCAGAUAUCAGGAGGAACACCGAUGGCGAAGGCAGGUCUCUGGGCCACUACUGACGCUGAGAAGCGAAAGCAUGGGGAGCGAACAGG
rnacentral:rRNA from 1 species